AAAAGGACCCUGCCCGGGAUCCUCCCUGAACAUUAUUGCAUUCUUUGCCUAGAUUCUGCAGCCUUGCACUAGUCGCAGAACAUCUUUGCUGAAGAGGUGCUGUGUGCUGGGAGCCCUGGCUCAUUUGAGACUCUUACCUCAUGGGUAGCUCAUGAUUCCUGGAGUAUGCAGUCAUUUUCAUCAUCUCAUUGACAGCUCAUCAUUACUGGAUGUGAUGUACGCUAUCGUUUUCAUCAUUCAAUUUAUAGAUGAGGAAACAGUGCAGAUUUACAGCAGAAAAGGGUACCAAGGGGAUGGAACAGGUUCAUGUUCCUCGACUUCCUAGUUGGAGGUCGCUCUGAAGACUGGCGCAUAGCACCCAGCUCCAAGACUAACUGGCGUUGUUAAUUCUGCAGUGGGUGAAAAGAAACCCCCCAGACCUCAUAAGACAAUGCAGCAUGGUGUUUUCUACAACAGAAGAACAUAUAUGAGACGAAUCUCGGCAGGUAGACCAGAGAAGUGGCUGGAAACAGAACUGACAACUCUUCCACCUGCUGAAGUGUUGGGAGCAGUGAGACCCCAUAUCCUGAAUUUCUUAUAACCCCCAAAUCUGAGUGCCUACAGCUGCUCUGAGCACGAGACCUUCAGGAGUUCCUGAUGGCAGGAGAGUGGUUUCUGGGGAAAAACUUACAGAUCACUAUCUUAGACAACAGCCCUCUGAGCGACCAGGAAUAGAGUCUAGCAGCUGGAAGUGGGAGCCAGAAGCAAGAGAGCAAGCACAUGGCUACCGCUGCUUUUUAAAGCAAAAGAGACCACACCCUAGUGGGCUGGUAUCUUAAAGGCUAUUGGCUGAAUGAGUAGAAUGUUCUCCCAUAGCAAUUGAGAUUCCAGAAGAUGUAGAAAUACAGUGAAGUACAAGGUGAUGAACUCUGCUGGCUGGGGAGAGAAGAACAAACUGGAAGAGCCAAAUUUAUGGAAGGGCUACAUUUACUGGCAGAUCAGCUCUUCCAAAAAGCAGAAGGAUGUCUGUUACUGUGGAGGCGGGCUUUGAGGUCUCAUACAUGUGUGAAUCAUGCCCAGUGAGUGAGUUCGCUUCCUGCUGCCUACAAGACAUAGGAUUCCAGAUCCCUCUUCAGCACCAUAUCUACCUGCACGCCACCAUGGCCCAUCAUAUUAAUAAUUGACUGAACCGCUGAACUCUGAAAAUAUGCUCUUCCUGGGUCUUGACUCUUCUGGCUUUUGAAAUUGGACACUGUCACCAAGUUCCUGAAACCCCACCACUGCUUCCCACAUCCCCUCCCUAGAUCCCACAAACUCACAGCUCUGUACUGAGAAGUCCUUAUAAUAAAAUGCC